rnacentral:rRNA from 1 species
UUUCCGUAGGUGAACCUGCGGAGGGAUUCAUUACCGAGUUUAUAAGCAGCAAACCCCUGUGACAUACCACUUGUUGCCUCGGCGGAUCAGCCCGCUCCCGGUAAAACGGGACGGCCCGCCAGAGGACCCCUAAACUCUGUUUCUAUAUGUAACUUCUGAGUAAAACUAUAAAUAAAUCAAAACUUUCAACAACGGAUCUCUUGGUUCUGGCAUCGAUGAAGAACGCAGCAAAAUGCGAUAAGUAAUGUGAAUUGCAGAAUUCAGUGAAUCAUCGAAUCUUUGAACGCACAUUGCGCCCGCCAGUAUUCUGGCGGGCAUGCCUGUUCGAGCGUCAUUUCAACCCUCAAGCACAGCUUGGUGUUGGGACUCGCGUUAAUUCGCGUUCCCCAAAUUGAUUGGCGGUCACGUCGAGCUUCCAUAGCGUAGUAGUAAAACCCUCGUUACUGGUAAUCGUCGCGGCCACGCCGUUAAACCCCAACUUCUGAAUGUUGACCUCGGAUCAGGUAGGAAUACCCGCUGAACUUAAGCAUAUCAUAGUGGGGAGGGA